rnacentral:rRNA from 1 species
UACGGAGGGUGCAAGCGUUAUCCGGAUUUACUGGGUUUAAAGGGUGCGUAGGUGGGUUGGUAAGUCAGUGGUGAAAUCUUCGAGCUUAACUCGGAAACUGCCAUUGAUACUAUCAAUCUUGAAUAUCCUGGAGGUAAGCGGAAUAUGUCAUGUAGCGGUGAAGUGCUUAGAUAUGACAUAGAACACCCAUUGCGAAGGCAGCUUACUACGGGAUUAUUGACACUGAGGCACGAAAGCGUGGGGAUCAAACAGG